rnacentral:lncRNA from 1 species
GGCCAAGGGUGCAAAGAUAAAUUGUUUUAUAGCAUGAUCAGGACCGUUGAUGAAAACACGAUUAUCUUUGGUCGUAGUGCAUGGAUAAUUCGUGGUCGUGAUACUAAAGAAUAUCCUUGGCCUGUAGUGCAGGGAUGAUUCGAUGAUGUGGAUUAAUUAUUGAGCUGAGUCUCAGCAAUGAAAUAUUAAUUCAUGGAUGUGAUAAUAAUGAAUCCUUGGCCCGUAGUGCAUGGAUAAUUCAUGGAUGUGAUAUUAACGAAUAUCCUUGGCCAUAGUGCAGGGAUGAUUCGAUGACGUGGAUUAAUUAUUGAGCUGAG